UACGAAGGGGGGCUAGCGUUGCUCGGAAUGACUGGGCGUAAAGGGCGCGUAGGCGGCUUGUUUAGUCAGGCGUGAAAUUCCUGGGCUUAACCUGGGGGGCUGCGCUUGAUACAGGCAGGCUUGAGUGCGGAAGAGGGUCGUGGAAUUCCCAGUGUAGAGGUGAAAAUUCGUAGAUAUUGGGAAGAAACACCGGUGGCGAAGGCGGCGCCUGGUCCGUGACUGACGCUGAGGCGCGAAAGCUAGGGGAGCAAAACGGGG
rnacentral:rRNA from 1 species